GGAUGCAAGUUUGUGUUCAACUGAACUCGCUCUUCAUGGGCCCGUGCUUCACUUUCCUGUUGGUGAUGUAGCAACAUCAUUUAUUUCUGUUCAAAUGUUAUGAUAAGUCAGAAAGGACAGAACUUGUUCUGCCCUUUAACCUGGAUCUGGAAGCUACUUCCUCAUCAGCAACAACCUCGUCUCUGGAACAAACAGAAGGGGAAACACUGGCAAACAGCAACCUGUCCUAACUGGGCCUUUACAGUAGAGAACAUUACUUCCUUGCAAACCGUUUUAGGAAGUUCUAUUUCAUAAUGCUCUGCAAUUUUUAGCAACUGCUCCCUGGUACAUUGUCCUAGCACCUCCACACUGGGACACUGCACAAAAUCCUCCAUGGUAGCCAUCGUUUCAAAAGAACCAACCCAGAUAACUUUUUUUUAUUUAUUUAUAUACAUCUCAUCACCUUUGGAAUACCUCUCCCCUGACUCUCUGCCUAACCAAUGCUAACUACCUUCUCUGGACCCUAGUCUUCAUGCAUUUCAUGACAGGUGUUUUAAACACAAAACCAAUGACCAGGUAAAGCCCCAGCUAUGCUGUUACUCACCAGACGGACAUGGACGUGUACCCAAGACAGGAAGUCAAAUCAUGUUUAUGCACAAAAAUAACAAACAAAAACAACAAACCAACAGACCCCCCCCGAGAGAGAUACUGUUGCUUAUUCCUACCAGGAAAGGUAACUCCAAAGGUGAAUCCCUCUAAUUAGAGCCUGAUAAUGAAGGCAAUUAGUCCCAGUGAUGUAAGCUCCAAGUACUACCUUCACACUCUAAAGUUAUCACACACCCUGGACACACCCCGGCAACCAGGACACUAUUCCAGGGGAACCUUCACCUACUAGAGGCCUCUGACUUUCUCACUACAGAGAAGAGUGAGAAACAAACCUGGAUCUGGAUCCCGGACGAGCCCCCACUUGUUACACCUUGGCUCCUGUUGUGCAACAAGACUCACAGACGGCCACAAAGUUCUGCAGUUAUAGUAUUUAUUCUAGAAAGAAUAAAUACAAGGAAACCUCCACCUGUGCAUGUGGAGGUCGACCCGGUGGAAGAGAGACCAGAGCCCAGUCUGCAGGCCUCUUAAGUAGUGGUCCCCCAGGUGUGCCACAUCCCUGCUGAUCACUAGGGUCUGACUCCGCCCACAGGAGCCUGGAACACAGCAGACAACUCCAGGGUUGUCACACCUGGCAUGCACAAGGAGAAGAUCAUUUAAAGGGUGACACUGAUGAAGAAGAGGAUGAGUCCCCUGGUGAUGAACAUCAGGACGGAGGAGAAAACAGCAGCAAGAGAGAGUUACAGGAGAAGAUGUCAGAUGAAAGCGUGACCUUCUGUGAUGAAGCCGUGCUGGCUUCCCUCAGUCGUACCCUGAAGCCUUUCUCCUUGUCGGCUUUGAUCUCACUGUCCAGGUGCUUCAUGGUGCUGGUGAAGCCUCGGUAGAUCAGAUACUCCCUCACGUGUUCGUCUGUCCUCUCCACUGCUGAGCCCAUGGUGACCUCUGACCCUGCAGAGGAGCAGUGAUGACAACAUUACCUCUUUACAGAGGGAGAGAAACCAAGCAGCUGAUCCAUCCCAUAAUGCCUUGAGGCCGCCACAUUUAAGAAACAGAACUUUGUAGUUGAAGCGAAUGGGCCAAUCAGCUGUGGAGCUGAACGUGAAACAAGCAACACACACAGAUCAACAUGUCAACACUUAUAUCUUCUUUUUGUUUUGUUGUGUGUUGACUUCUUAUCAUGUGAUUUGUUCACCUUGUUAUAAUAAAUGCUACAGAAAUAA